rnacentral:lncRNA from 1 species
GCGGCCGCGGGCGACUCCUGGUACCCCCGAGGCCCCGCGAACUCACCUUCACAAAGCUGUCGGCGUCCGGGAAGCCUGGCAGCACCAUCUCUCCGUCGGAUUUGGUUGCGCUGGUCGCCGACAGGACCCUGGGCUCCCGGGUACUGGGUGGCGCCAUUUUUUCAGCCUGCACGGCUCGUCUCGCGAGAGCUUGUCGGCCGAGGAGACGGGACGCGUGCGCACCACGCAUGCGCCAGGUAAGCUCCUGAAGAAAGCGUCUAGCUCCAACUGUGCUUCCUCCCUCCAGUACCCUCUGAACUCCUCCAAGCAGACGUUGUUUCCUGCAGACAUCGCUGGAACCAUUCUGGUUAACACAGAGUGGGAACUCAGUACACAUUUGUGAAGUGAACUCCUGGAAGAGCUCUUGUGAGGGAGGCACCGAAUUAUCAGGCAGCUCAAGAGAUAGAUUCACUCUCCUGAAAUUAGAGAUGGGAUGCCCUUAAUACAAUUCAUUCCACCCAUUAAGUCUUCAAUAAAUGUUCAGCAUAUCCAGUUAAGAGAA